rnacentral:lncRNA from 1 species
UUACCUUUCUCUUUUAAUCAUACCAAACCCUAAUUUUUUGAUACCAGCCGCUACUUAUGUCUUCCCCAGCCAACUUCUCUGUUUCCUCUGCACGUAUCAACCACACACACCAGCCAUCGCUUACCUCCUAAAAAUUGUCCUCACAUCCCUCUCACUUGGAAGACCGGCCGACCACCUCCUUUGUGGCGAUGCACGGCGGCUGUGGAAGAAGGACGACGGGCGGAGAUGGGCGGUAGUUAUCAGCGGCGGAGAAGGUGGUGGCAUAAGGAGGGAGAAUGGUCGUGGUGAUUUCUCUCCGCCGUCUCCCUCCCUCUCCUCACCGUCUCCUCGUCUCCUCCAGCUCCGAGGUGUUGUGGCCGAGAUUGUUGAUAAGGAAGUGGCUCAAUCGGUCUUCCAGAAGCUCCGAAUACGACGCUGAUUCGGAGGAUGAUGAUACUGCUUACGGAACCGACGGAGACGUUCUUUCAUACGUUUUGAUUCGGUGGUAUUUAAUUCGAGUUAGUUUCUGUUUAAACCAGCCGCAAUGAGGAAGGGAUUGGUGACUUACUGUGAAUCAAGGAAAAGUGCUAGGUAGCACUAAAAAGCUUGAAGAGGUGGUUCAAUAAAAUAAAUAAACAUGUUUUGUAAAACAAGGGAUUUCCUCGUGAAAUUUCCUUUAUUGUAAAUUAUGGGGUUUGUCCCAAAUUGUGAAAUAAAAUAAUUGGGCAUUUUCAGUUUAAAAGAUCCU